rnacentral:tRNA from 2 species
GCGGAUGUGGCGGAAUUGGCAGACGCGCUAGGUUCAGGUCCUAGUGAAUGCAAGUUCAUGUGGGUUCGACUCCCGUCAUCCGCACCA